UAAGGAAUAUUGGUCAAUGGACGCAAGUCUGAACCAGCCAUGCCGCGUGAAGGAUGAAGGUCCUCUGGAUUGUAAACUUCUUUUAUCUGGGACGAAAACGGGAUUUUUAUCUCAAUUGACGGUACCAGAGGAAUAAGCACCGGCUAACUCCGUGCCAGCAGCCGCGGUAAUACGGAGGGUGCGAGCGUUAUCCGGAUUUACUGGGUUUAAAGGGUGCGUAGGUGGGCUUAUAAGUCAGUGGUGAAAUCUCCGAGCUUAACUUGGAAACUGCCGUUGAUACUAUAGGUCUUGAAUGCCGUGGAGGUGAGCGGAAUAUGUCAUGUAGCGGUGAAAUGCUUAGAUAUGACAUAGAACACCAAUUGCGAAGGCAGCUUACUACAUAUAAAUUGACGCUGAGGCACGAAAGCGUGGGGAUCAAACA
rnacentral:rRNA from 1 species